UACCGGUGGUCCGAGUGGUAGCCGCUUUUAUUUGGUCUAAAGGGUCCGUAGCCGGUCCGGUCAGUCCAUUGGUAAAUCCGCGCGCUCAACACGCGGUCUUCAGUGGAUACUUCCGGACUUGGGACCGGGAGAGGUAAGAGGUACUAUAGGGGUAGGAGUGAAAUCCUGUAAUCCUUAUGAGACCACCUGUGGCGAAGGCGUCUUACCGGAACGGGUCCGACGGUGAGGGACGAAAGCUGGGGGCACGAAC
rnacentral:rRNA from 1 species